rnacentral:lncRNA from 1 species
UUAGUUUUAUGAAAUACCAAAUGAGCACCUAAAUUAGUAUUACUAAUUAGUCCACUGCCAAACUUAGUUUGGACCCAAAGUAAACUAGUUUAAUAGUGCUAUAAUUUAAAAAGCUAUUAAAUUAUUAUUUUAGCCACUGUUUUUGAUUAGUCUAGGGUAGCCAAGCAUUUUACAAAAAUGUUGUUUCUCUACCAAUAUUACUAACUAAUUAUUUGUCACAUCCAAAACAAUUUGGUUUUAAUAUUUGAAAACUUUUAUUGUUGAAUUUGAAUUUGAAUUUUGAAUCGGUUUUUGAACUAACGAGGGAUUAGCAACAGUAACGGAGGUGACGUGGCAUCAUUAGCAGAGUUUAUCUGUAGCUUGAUUAUCCGGGCGUUACACAUGAUCUCAAUAAAUGUGACUUUGGUACAUGUAUUUCUUUGAUCAUUUUUCAUUUGAAUAAUCACAAUAUUAAAAUUAUGACGGUGCAGUUUGAUUAUAAUCAAAUCAAUCAAAUAGCUAUGCAAGUAUGAUUUCUAUCAACAAAGAGCAACAUCACGCCAGUCCUAAAUUGUAGGAUAGUUGCUUACCAUAUUUUCUAUGAUUCGCAUGCAUCUAUUAGAAUAUAUAUGAUGCAUUUACUUUGGUUUUUCAGCCGUCGCGGUCGAAAGCUUUAAACUUGACUUGUAUUCUACAAAGUCACCGCAAGAGGCAGAGCGCUCGCAAUGCCACGGCCACCACCAGUUUUACCCGCGGCAUUGCAGGAGCGCCCACGAGCAGCCGAAGAUGAGGGGCGACCAACACAUAGCCAAAAGGAAAAAUGGCAGUCGACUAUAAAUAAAGAAGUUGUUUAUUUUUAUAGAAAUGACGGCGGGGUAGACCUUAAAACAAGUGACCAAAAUUCAACUUGAAGCAACAACACACAGAAGUAAUUUUCACCGAUCUGUUAUAAAACUAACAUGAAUAUGGGACUGAUCCAAAGAUCCCCUUCCUUCGAACCUAGCUGGACCAUAUAACAUAUCAAACUAACUAUAUAACGUUGCCCAUGAUCACCGGCCAACACAAAGGUCUCAUCAGUGACACCUCGCGUCCUUCACAUAUUUAUCAAGACACAUAUAUGAAGUAAAGUAGUAGUAAUGUAUAAGAGUGUGGAUUUUUCAUACCCUCAUGUAUAAUUAGAAGAACAUGAACUGGAGUUAUAUAUUGAUAGUUACCAUGGAUGGAGAACUGAAAAUUUCUAACUGCAAAUAUAAAAUUGUCAAGAAUGAUAAUAAGCAUGGAGAACUAAAAUAUACUAUCACUUCCAUGUAGCUGAGAACCUAAUAUUGACAGAAUCCACACCAUGUCUCAGGGUACAAGUAAAAGCUUGUCAUGCUUACCGAAAGGGAGGCAUAAUGGAUCUUCUGUAAAGGCACCAACACAGGUACACAUCACAUAGGCUCCUGGAAAAAAAAUCAUGCUUAACAAUAACACAAGUGGGAAUCAAGCAAAUUGCAAUAUUCACGGCUUCUUUUGGGGCAAAAUCAGUACAUCUUCAGCCGAAGCAAAGAAAACACAUACAUAUAUGCAUACAGAUGUAUCUUAGCUAGCACCUCUACGCAUACACGGACAUAGAGCAGAAUACGGCCAACAAGCCAAGCAAGGCAACAAACAUGUGCUCUGUAAAUAAUUAGCUAGAUCCAAGGCCUUCCUUGGCAGCAAGGUACAAACAAAUCAAGAAAGACAAAGUUCAAUGUGAAACUAUGUUAAAAAAAACUGCAGCCAAUGAACAGAUUGUCCAUCAUUUUCUUCCCCUUAAUGUUUUCUCUUGUCGAACAUGUCUUAUUCAAUCGUUCCUUUGGUGCUUUCAUCAACUUCCAUCAUCAUUGAGAAAACAAAUUUGUCACAAUACCUAUUACAAGCUUGCACCAUUAACAAAUUCUGCUGUUUUAAACAAAGUGAUUCAUCAUACUUAAGGGAGAAAUCGUAGUAAUACUUAACUUACGUUAUAGAUUCCGUGUGAAAUUAAUUGGCUGAAAAUCAAAUCAACAACUCUAUCUUUGUGAUGUCCUAUGAUGUCACCACCAAAGUAGAUCUAAGUACACCCAUAUAACUGUUACACCUAUAUUUUCUGUGAUUAUUUGUAGUCUCAAGUUCAAACUAUUCUUCUUAAAUCACUACCCUCUCAAAAGAAAACCAAUAGUAAUAAACCACCUAUGAUGACAUUGUACAGAUAUCAAUGUGAGGUAUUGGUGUUGCUAAGCUAGCAAUUACCUGCCAAGAUCUGCAGCAAAAGUGUUCGUUGAUGGACCAAUCCAUCCUGCUUCCUGAGACCAGAACUAUAACUAUUGGUGGUCCAGUUCUGCUAGAGGAACAUGGAGCUGGUCUUGCCCCUUUCUUGUGUCAAUCAGACUGAGCCACCAACAGUUCCUCCACGACAUAAUGUUCGCUGAGUCUACUUCUGCGCCCAAAAUGACCGAGAAAAAUGCAGGUG